rnacentral:lncRNA from 1 species
CUAUGAAUAAACAAACAGAAAUAUCAGAAACCAGAAAACGAGCAGAAGAAUAAUUAACAAAUAUUUGUUUAUGAUAAAAAAAAAAUGUUUGGUAGUUCUUUAAACAAAUAAUCUGCAAAUAGUUAUGCAUUUACUGAGAAAAUAGCUAAUAUUCUUGAGAAUGAUGGAUAGUAGUGAAGAUUGUAAAGAAUAUUGAAAAUAUUGGUAGCUACAAAGAAUGGUGAAUAUUUUGUUGCUCAGAGUGUUAUUUGGUUACCUUAAUCAAUUCUGCUCAAAUAGAGAGAGCUAUGCUAUGCAGUGAGCUAAUUAAAUGUUUAGCAGUCCAGUUGAAUGGCUUGGCAGUUCUUUAGUUUCAUCUAAGACCAUAUUGUAUAUAAAUAAAUAAACUGUUUGGUUUUGUUGUGUGCAGGGAAACAGUGUUGUUGUUUAUUAUGGAGAUUACAAAAUAGAUUUAAUCAAAGCAUUGCUGAAAUGGUCUUUCAUUUUCUUCUGCAUUUCCAUUUUAAUCUUUUAAUGAGGUUUAUUUUUAAAGAGAUGGAGAUAGAGGGGAGGGGGAGAGGGAUAGAAGGGGAGAGAGGGGGAGAGGUGGAGAGAGAGAUAGACAAACAAACACAAGGUGAGUGAAUGAAGAGGUGUAAAUGAAUACUAGAAUUUUCUGUGUUUGUAAUAAUAUAGUUUUACAGUCAGAUAGUGUUGGUUUCAAAAUUUGCAGCAAGGCUAACAAUUACAGGAAAGGGGCUAAGUCAAUUACAUUGACUCCAGUGUUCAACUGGUACUUAUUUUAUCGACCCCCAAAAGGAUGAAAGUCAAAAGUCAACCUCAGUAGAAUUUGAACUCAGAACAUAAAGAUUUGCCGCUAAGUAUUAUACCCAGUUUCUGGUUGACACAACAGUAAUAUAGGAGCACUCUGUCAGUUACAACGACGAGGGUCCCAGCUGAUACGAUCAAUGGAACAGCCUGCUUGUGAAAUUAAAGUGCAAGUGACUGAGCAAUCCACAGGCACAUGUACCCCUAACGUAGUUCUCAGCGAGAUUCAGCUUGACACAGAGUGUGACAAGGCUGGCCCUUUGAAAUACAGGUACAACUCAUUUUUGCCAGCUGAGUGAACUGGAGCAACGUGAAAUAAAGUGUCUUGCUCAAGGACACAAUGCAUCACCAGGAAUUGAACUCACGACCUUACAAUCAUGAGCCGAAUGCCCCUAACCACUAAGCCACGCACCUUACAACAGUAAUAUAUUUCAGCCAUUAAGUAACAUGACCAGUCAUCAGAGCCCCACAGUUUGGUUGAGUUUAACCCUUUAGUGUUCAGAUUAUUCAAUCAAACAUAAUGCCUAUUGAUUCCCAUUGAUUUGAAUUAAUCAUGCAUUAUGUCAUAUCUUCAAGAUCUUGAUGGUGUAAUUACUUAAUGUAAAAUAAUAUUGUAGGGUAGGUGUGAGAGCCUGGAUCUGGUCAGUUUGAGCAUAAAACAGAUUAACUAUUUUGGACGGAUAUGGCCGGUUUAAAUACUAAAGGGUUAAGGGUCUACUGUACUAUGCUAGUUCAUAGCAUGUUGGCACAAAUUUGCUGUUGAUGAAAUGGACCCAAGUAUUUAACUGGUAAUUUAUUUUAUCAACCUUGGAAAGAUAAAAAGGCACCAUUGGCUUCAACAAGAUUUGAACUUUUAUAUGUAAACUCAAAAGAAAUACCACAAGGUAUGUUAUCUGAUGCUCUACUGAUUCUGUCAUUCCUUUAUCCUUAUCUCCAAACUGAUUAGUCUUUCUUAAUUGCUAUUUUGGCUUGGAAACUAAUUUUGAAAUAAUUCUCAUGUGUUUGUAUGCUUUGCAUUUGUCUGUAUCAGAUAAAUAUAUCACAUGGAGGUGUUACCAUUGGAAAUAUGUGCUUGAAAAAAAAAAGCAUAGCUGCAGUUGUAAAGUUAGAAUAUUGAUCUAUUGCAAAUAGUUUUACCUGUCUGAAGAACUGAACUCAAUAUUAGCAGCCAAUGAUAUCUAUCUUAACUUCACUCUGCUCUUAUAUCUUACAGCAGUCAAUUAUAUCUUGCCUACUUGGGCACCCUUAUUAGAAGUCUUUAUGCAGUCGCUCGACUUGCUAGAAAUAGCUGCUAAAUAUCCUUUCAAAUCCCUCUUUAGUAGCCAAAGUAAACUCUGGUAUACAAAAAGACUGGACUGAGCCCAUGCUGGGGGUAUUAUCUUGAAGGGUUUUCUUGAACAAAUAAACCCCAAUAUUUAUAUUUGUCUGGUACUCACUCUAUCAGUGUCUUUUGCUGAACCACUAAGUUUUGGGGCUGUAAGCAAACCAGCAUCAGUUGUCAAGCAGUGAGGUGGGAAAACACAAACAAGGCCUACACACACACACAUACACACACACACACACGCACACGCACACACACACUCACACUCACACUCAUACACACACACACACACUCACACUCAUACACACACACACUCCUAUCUAUACAUAUCUAUCUAUAUCUAACUGUUUAGCUAUCUAUCUACAUCAUCAUCAACAUCAUCAUUUAAUCUCCAUUUUCCAUGCUGGCAUGGGUAGGAUGGUUUGACAGGAGCUGGCAAGCCAAACAGCUACACCAGGCUCCAAUUGUCUGUUUUGAUAUGGUUUCUGUGGCCGGGUGCCCUUCCUAACACCAACCUCUUAACAGAGUGUACUGGGUCCUUUUUAUGUGCUUCCACAAAGUUUCCAUUCACCAAAUCCACUCAGAAAGCAUUAGUUGACCGAGAGCUAUAAUAGAAAACACUUGCCCAAGGUACUGCACAGUGGAACUGAACUCAAGAUUACAGACUAGCAAAGUGAGCUACUUAACCAUACAACCUGCUCGCAUCUAUUGCAACCAGGCGUGGACAGAGCCAUAGGUCAAUCAGGCACCACUGCCUAAGGGCAUGGAGUUCUGAGGGGCCCACACUCUACAUGUUAACUCUCUUUGAUAUCAAUGCUAAGGGGCCUGGUGAACUGUUAUGCCCAAGGCCCUUAAUACUCUCAAUCCACUCCUGAUAACAACCAUUAACUUGAACAAAACUUUCUAGUUUGAAUCUAUUCUGAGGCUAUGUGAAGAGGAUUGCUUUCUGAUGAUGAACAGAGAUCCAUUUUAUCAAAGUAUUAAGUACAAGGGUGAAAAGGCGGUGAGCUGGUAGAAAUGUUGGGCGAAAUGCGUAGCCAUAUUUAAUCUGCAAUUACAUUCUAAGUUCAAAUUCUGCCGAGGUCGACUUUGCCUUUCAUCCUUUCGGGGUCGAUAAAUUAAGUACCAGUUCCGCACUGGGGUCGAUGUAAUCGACUUAAUCCGUUUAUCUGUCCUUGUUUGUCCCCUCUGUGUUUAGCCCCUUGUGAGUAGUAAAGAAAUAGGUAUAAGUACAAGGGCAAAACAAAACGGAAUGCAAUUAAAAAUUGCUUUACUUUCUGACUCCCCCUCAUAAAAGUAAAUUAUUUUAUUCUUUUACUUGUUGCAGUCAUUAGACUGCGGCCAUGCUGGGGCACCACCUUGAAGAAUUUCAGUUGAAUAAAUCAACCCUAGUACUGUUGUUAUUAUUAUUUUUUUUUUUACUUGGUAUUUAUUUCUUUAUUCUCUUUUGCUGAACUGCUAAAUUUCGGGGAUGUAAGCACACCAACACCGGUUGUCAAGCAGUGGUGGGGGACAAGCACACACACACACACACACACACACACACACACACAUAUAUGAUGAGCUUCUUUCGGUUUCCGUCUACCAAAUCCACUAACAGGGCUUUGGUCAGCCCAAGGCUAUAACCGAGGAUACUUAACCAAGGUGCCACACAGUGGGACUGAAGCACACAGUCCCACUGUGGUUGGAAAGCACACAGCCCUUCCUGUGCCUAUACUUGAAAUAAUAUGAAUGGUUCAUGAACUUACAUAUUAUCGUUGUGCAGGAGUGAUGCUAAUUUUCUCUGUAUCGUUCAGUUUUAGUAUACGUACUGCUGAGGCAAACAUUUCAAAAAAGGGGAAAACGUUUUCAUUUUUAAGAGAGGGUAGGAGUGGCUGUGUGAUAAGUAACUUGCUUAUGAACCACAUGGUUCCAAGUUCAGUUCCACUACGUGGCACCUUGGGCAAAUGUCUUCUACUAUAGCCUCAGGCCAACCAAAGCCUUGUUAGUGGAUUUUGGUAGAUGGAAACUGAAAGAAGCCCAUCAUAUAUAUGUAUAUAUAUACAUUAUGGACCGUUAGCUCCUACAUGCAUUUUUUUCUCUCCUUGUUUCUUUUCUGUGUAUCUUUCUGUCGAAGAGCGUAGGCUCGAAACGUAAAAGACUUGUUCUAUUUCUAUUCCUGAGCGGCAUACUAAUACAUUUGUUUGUUUGUACUCCACCUGCCUUCGUCUUUUGUUUAUUUUCGUAAACCUUCCCGUUAUAUAUAUAUAUAUAUAUAUAUAUAUAUAUAUAUGUAUGCAUGUGUAUAAGUUUGUGCAUCUGUGUCUGCUCCCCCCCCAAAAAAAACAUCGCUUGACAACCGAUGCUGGUGUGUUUAUGUACCCGUAACUUAGCAGUUCGGCAAAAAGAGACCGAUAGAAUAAGUACUAUUCUUACAAAGAAUAAGUCCCGGGGUCAAUUUGCUUGACUAAAGGCGGUGCUCCAGCAUGGCCACAGUCAAAUGACUGAAACAAGUAAAAGAGUAAAAAAGAGUAAAAGAGUAAUUCUUUCUACCAAAGUCACAAGGCUGGAAACUUAUUCCAUCAAGCCAGAAAAGGAUGAAAAGCUGAGUUGAUCAUGAUGGAAUUUUAACUCAGAAUGCAAAGCAGAGAAGAAAUGUUGCCAAAGCAAUUUUUUUUGUCAAGUAUUCUAAUGAUUCUACCAGCACAAGAUAGGGUUAAUAAUCUGAGCAAAUGAUAACUCUAUGUUAAUAGAGACUGUUUGUUUAUUGCUUUGAUCUGUGGAUAUGUCAUUAGACUAAUAUGAAGCAGUAUGACACUAAUCAAGAAAUCAUAGGCAUUUCUAAUCAUUUUCUCUGCCAUUUGUAUUUAUGUAACAGCUGGAGAGGAAGGAUUGCCAAUUCUAAUAUUUUCCUUUUUUUCUGCCUGAGGUGGGGGGGGGUCUUAGCUCUCAUUUCUGUUUAAUUGUUUUGGGGGUACUUCUAUUGUAUUCAUAUUGGUAUUUUGCGUUUUACUUUUUCGUUUCUGCUAGCUUUCAUUAGUUUAGUUAUUUCAUUUGCAUGGUUGGUGUUUGUUGCAUUUCUUAAUGUUGCCUUUCAGGAGUGGGUUUUUUUUUUUUUUUUUUUUUUUAGAUAUGUCUUUAAAAUAAUCUAUUGAUAAUAUAUAUAUUUGCUAAGUUAGUCAUUUGGAAUGUGCUGAGAUCAGUGAUCUUCUGAAACUAAUUUAAUUUGGUUUCUUGUUUUAAUAGUCUGUAGAUGUGCACUUGUCUGUAUCAUUGACAAGGCAAUCUGCUGAGAAAAUAAUAGCUAACAGGUGAAGGAAACGAUAUGACUGAUUCAGAGAAAAGACUGGAGAAAUUGGGAACAAAGAAUGGCAUUGAAAUUAGAACUAUAUUCAGAAUUAUGAACACUGCUGUGAUUUGCGACAAAUGAAAAUAAAGGAAAAUGAAGAAAAAUAAUCAAAGAAUAAUGAAAGGUAAGCAAUAAG